rnacentral:rRNA from 1 species
AUACCUACAUCGUUGCCUCGGCGCGCUGGCUUGCCUCUCCCUAACGGGAGGGGGCCCUCCCUCUGGGGGGACAGCGAGGCCACGCGCCGACGGCCCAUUAAACUCUUGUUUUUACCGAGUAACUUCUGAGUAAAGCUUCUAAAUGAAUCAAAACUUUCAACAACGGAUCUCUUGGUUCUGGCAUCGAUGAAGAACGCAGCGAAAUGCGAUAAGUAAUGUGAAUUGCAGAAUUCAGUGAAUCAUCGAAUCUUUGAACGCACAUUGCGCCCUCUGGUAUUCCAGAGGGCAUGCCUGUUCGAGCGUCAUUUCAACCCUCAAGCUCUGCUUGGUGUUGGGGCAUUACCCGGCCGCUUCUGCGGGACGGUAAGCCCUGAAAUUCAGUGGCGAGCUCGCCAGGACUCCGAGCGUAGUAGUUAAACCCUCGCUUUGGACUGUACUGGCGCGGCCUAGCCGUAAAACCCCCAACUUCUGAAAAUUUGACCUCGGAUCAGGUAGGAAUACCCGCUGAACUUAAGCAUAUCAUAGACCGGGAAGAAAAAUUACCUACGGAAAAAUUCUUCCACCGUAUUAUUAAUAUGCCGAACCUUAGU